rfam:Bifidobacterium subtile strain LMG 11597 Contig11, whole genome shotgun sequence.
GGGGCUGAUCGGUUUCGACGGUGACCUGUUCGUCGCAGGGAAGCGUGCCGAGAACGCAGGGUCCGCUCGUGGAUGACCCCUGCAAACAAUUAAGUGCUAAAUCUAAUCGCACUGAGUUCGCUCUCGCUGCCUGAUUUUUAGUCAGGAUUAACCAGUGAGCAGCUGCUCCGUCCACUCCUUCGUGUCUUCGGGGGGAUGUUGGGCGUUAUAAGAGGACUUGCUUGAAGCGCUGCGCCGCAGGGCGUUUCAGGGACUUUUUCUGCAGCUAUGCCCGCCAUCGGUCGUCUGCGACACGAUGGGAGCAGAAAAAUUGCCACACGGCCGGCAGACUACGCACGUAGAAGACUGAGGGUACGGUCAUCGGACCGGGGUUCAAUUCCCCGCAGCUCCACCA